rnacentral:tRNA from 1 species
GCCGGGGUGGUGGAAUGGCAGACACGGAGCACUCAAAAUGCUCUGGCCGCAAGGUCGUGCGGGUUCAAGUCCCGCUCCCGGCA